UACGUAGGGGGCAAGCGUUGUCCGGAAUCAUUGGGCGUAAAGAGCGUGUAGGCGGUCCGAUAAGUCGGUUGUGAAAGUCCAGGGCUCAACCCUGGGAUGCCGACCGAUACUGUCGGACUAGAGUUCGGAAGAGGCGAGUGGAAUUCCCGGUGUAGCGGUGAAAUGCGCAGAUAUCAGGAAGAACACCCGUGGCUAAGGCGGCUCUCUAGUACGGUACUGACGCUGAGACGCGAAAGCGUGGGGAGCGAACAGG
rnacentral:rRNA from 1 species